rnacentral:rRNA from 1 species
GAUGAACGCUAGCGGCAGGCCUAACACAUGCAAGUCGAGGGGUAGAAUUAGCUUGCUAAUUUGAGGCCGGCGCACGGGUGCGUAACGCGUAUGCAAUCUACCUUGUACAGGGGGAUAGCCCAGAGAAAUUUGGAUUAAUACCCCAUGGUAUAAUUAAUUUGCAUGAAUUGAUUAUUAAAGUUCCGACGGUACGGGAUGGGCAUGCGUAACAUUAGCUGGUUGGUAAGGUAACGGCUUACCAAGGCUAUGAUGUUUAGGGGUCCUGAGAGGGUGGUCCCCCACACUGGUACUGAGACACGGACCAGACUCCUACGGGAGGCAGCAGUGAGGAAUAUUGGUCAAUGGGCGCAAGCCUGAACCAGCCAUCCCGCGUGCAGGAAGACGGCCCUAUGGGUUGUAAACUGCUUUUCCAGGGAGAGAAACUUACGCACGUGUUGCGUGACUGACGGUACCCUGGGAAUAAGCAUCGGCUAAACUCCGUG